rnacentral:rRNA from 1 species
UACGUAGGGGGCAAGCGUUGUCCGGAUUUAUUGGGCGUAAAGAGCGUGUAGGCGGUCAGGUAGGUCCGUUGUGAAAACUCGAGGCUCAACCUCGAGACGCCGAUGGAAACCAUCUGACUAGAGUCCGGAAGAGGAGAGUGGAAUUCCUGGUGUAGCGGUGAAAUGCGCAGAGUAUCAGGAGGAACACCGAUGGCGAAGGCAGGUCUCCUGGGCCACUACUGACGCUGAGAAGCGGAAAGCAUGGGGAGCGAACAGG